AUGGCCAGGAAGGACGACAAGUACGGCGACCCCAUCAAGCAGAGCAAUUCCUCCACCAUCACAUCAUCUCCGACAAAGAGUAUGGAGCCUGCUGCAAGCCAUCGAACGAGGACACCACUGAAGAUAAUCGACGACCCACAUGCUCAGAAGCUCACACCACCACCUCCACCCACCCAAGGCGGCGUCUUCAGGAAGAAGACGGCGCUGGAACGCCGCCGCCGCCCAAACCAGGAGAUUUUGGGCUUUCACCCGGGUCACGGAGGUGGAGGGCGAGGGAGAGGAUCACGAUGUCGCCUUCAGGAAGGGUAG
rnacentral:rRNA from 1 species